rnacentral:rRNA from 1 species
CAGCCGUAAACUAUGCGCGUUAGGUGUACUGGUGACCACGAGUCACCGGGUGCCGAAGGGAAACCGUGAAACGUGCCGCCUGGGAAGUACGGUCGCAAGGCUGAAACUUAAAGGAAUUGGCGGGGGGAGCACCACAACGGGUGGAGCCUGCGGUUUAAUUGGACUCAACGCCGGAAAUCUCACCGGAUAGGACAGACAUAUGAUAGUCGGGCUGAAGACUCUACUUGAUGAUCUGAGAGGUGGUGCAUGGCGUCAGUGACU